AGCAGCACCCUGAGGAU
rnacentral:misc_RNA from 1 species